UCUGGCUUAUAGCCAAGCGGUCUCACUAGAGUGCCCAACUUAAUGAUGGCAACUAGUGACGAGGGUUGCGCUCGUUGCGGGACUUAACCCAACAUCUCACAACACGAGCUGACGACAGCCAUGCAGCACCUGUCUCCGCGUCUCCGAAGAGAACUCCGACUUUCGCCGGAUAGCACGGGAUGUCAAGCCUAGGUAAGGUUUUUCGCGUAGCAUCGAAUUGAACCACAUGCUCCACCGCUUGUGCGGGCCCCCGUCAAUUCCUUUGAGUUUUAAUCUUGCGACCGUACUCCCCAGGCGGGAUACUUAAUGCGUUAGCUGCGUUACCGAAACUAUUAGAAAUUCCGACAACUAGUAUCCAUCGUUUAAGGCGUGGACUAC
rnacentral:misc_RNA from 1 species